rnacentral:rRNA from 1 species
AGUGAACGCUGGCGGUAGGCCUAACACAUGCAAGUCGAACGGCAGCACAGUAAGAGCUUGCUCUUACGGGUGGCGAGUGGCGGACGGGUGAGGAAUACAUCGGAAUCUACUUUUUCGUGGGGGAUAACGUAGGGAAACUUACGCUAAUACCGCAUACGACCUACGGGUGAAAGCAGGGGAUCUUCGGACCUUGCGCGAUUGAAUGAGCCGAUGUCGGAUGAGCUAGUUGGCGGGGUAAAGGCCCACCAAGGCGACGAUCCGUAGCUGGUCUGAGAGGAUGAUCAGCCACACUGGAACGGAGACACGGUCCAGACUCCUACGGGAGGCAGCAGUGGGGAAUAUUGGACAAUGGGCGCAAGCCUGAUCCAGCCAUACCGCGUGGGUGAAGAAGGCCUUCGGGUUGUAAAGCCCUUUUGUUGGGAAAGAAAAGCAGCAGGUUAAUACCCCGCUGUUCUGACGGUACCCAAAGAAUAAGCACCGGCUAACUUCGUG